rnacentral:piRNA from 1 species
UCUGUGCACUUGAGUGCAGGUGGAUAUGUGC